rnacentral:rRNA from 1 species
CCUACGAGGGGCUGCAGUGAGGAAUAUUGGUCAAUGGACGCAAGUCUGAACCAGCCAAGUAGCGUGCAGGAUGACGGCCCUCCGGGUUGUAAACUGCUUUUAGUUGGGAAUAAAAGGGGGCUCGUGAGCCCCGUAUUGUAUGUACCAUCAGAAAAAGGACCGGCUAAUUCCGUGCCAGCAGCCGCGGUAAUACGGAAGGUCCGGGCGUUAUCCGGAUUUAUUGGGUUUAAAGGGAGCGUAGGCCGGCUUUUAAGGCCGCUGUGAAAGUCCGCGGCUCAACCGUGGAAUUGCAGUUGAAACUGGAGGCAUUGGGGGCACACAGGGAUGCCGGAAUUCAUGGUGUAGCGGUGAAAUGCUUAGAUAUCAUGAAGAACUCCGAUCGCGAAGGCAAGUGUCCGGGGUGCAACUGACGCUGAGGCUCGAAAGUGCGGGUAUCAAACAGGAUUAGAUACCCCGGUAGUC